CAGUGUUGCUUUGGGCAGCAAAGAACUCUCUGGCUGUAACAAAAUGCAAAUAAGAAUCCAAAGAUAAAAGUGAGAUGAUUAACUUUUUUUUUUUUUUUUUUUUAACCUCUGGCACUGUUGGUCUUUCCUCCUGCUGGUCUUGAAAACAAAAAUUGAUCUCAUUUACACAAGCAGGGUUAGCAUAGACUACUACUAGCUACUAAAAAGCAAGAUACUUCAUAAAAAUUUCGCCAAGACUGAUAAAUAAAAGAUGAAAUAAUCAAGGUUAGUAGAAAAUUCCACUCCUUAAAGUUAAGUUGUAUUCAUGAGAGUUUGAAAAUAUUUGAAAACAUUGAAACCAACUCAUCUGUUAUUUACCGUUGAGUACAAAUUUACAUAGACAUUGUUCAAUCUCUAUGCAUAACACGAGGUCAGUGUAUUUUUUCCCAAUUGAUUCUGAAAACAGUGUUUAUUUUAAACAUGUUAGCAUUUUUUCAUUCUCACGUGCUUGUUUUUCUUAACACUAAAAACAUUGUCCAGUUUUCACAGCAAAAAGCCACAAGACUAUUUUAAGUACUAGGCUAUUUUUGAGAAGCCCCUUAAUUAUGUGGUUAAAACACUUUUAUUGCUUAUGGAAUAUUUCUAAGUUAUGGUUACGGUCAUUUUUUUCUCUUGGUCAGACCUCAAGAUAUGUGAUACAGGAAUUUGUUUCCCUAAAACUCUAUAUUUACAAUUUACCUUGGUUUGUCUGUUUAAUAAGGUUUUCCAUAAAGUCUAACUCAUUUUUCUUUACAAUCAACAUUGUGAGCCCACUGAUGACAUUUGGAUUUUUUUUUUCCCCUCAGUCCAUUCUAACAUGGGUGUUCUUAUCAGUUAUUUUCUUCACAAAACUAUCAAUGACUUUUGCAGUUUUUAUUUUCAACUGCCUUACUCAUUUCUUUUUUUUUUUUUUUUCCUUACUCAUUUCUUGAAGGGAUAUCUUGAUGCUUCUGGUGCUUGUUAGUGAGCUUUGUAAAGCAAGAAAAACUAAUGAUGAAAUUAUGUAAUAAUCAGUGUGUUAAAUUUGAAUCAGUAUCUCUUGAUAAUUAGGCUUUGGGGGUUCUAGAAUUUGAGGAAGAACAAUCCACUGGAUUCUUUCUUCGUCUACAGGAGCAGACAAAAUACAAGUCAUGUGUGUAUACUUAACUUUUUGACCAGAAACUGCUUGACCUCUGUUACUGCCUCUGUUCUCCUGGACCUGGGCUUCUCCUGUCACAGACCUGCAAGAAGUUGCGCUUUAACAAAAAAGCAGAUUCUUUAUCUGGUUAUGCCCUUUCCCCAUGUCAUUUGGACCCAACUCUUUCUGCCACCUCACCCAGGUAUCCCAGAAGGAUAUUUAUGGGAAAGUGAGACCCAUGCAGUAGUAUUUUAAAAACCACAUUGUGCUAUUUUUUAAAAGGGGCUUUUCGGGGGGCACAGUCUUUAAGGCAUUAGCCUACUGGAGCCUCUUUUGCCUGGCAAGGCAAUAAAAGCUGUCUUUUUCUCUUUCACCCCCCCCCAAAAAAGGUGGGGGCUUUUCUUUUCCUAGCGGUAUUAUUUUUCAAAUUUAUUUUUAAAUGAUACCAACAGUAAGACUUGAAAUUAUAAUUACUUUUACAGAUUGUUAUUUCCAAUAAGCAAAAAAAGUUACAGCAAAAUUUUUGAACUUUUUUUGUGUUUCUUUUUUAAAUGCUGUACUAUGUUUAAAAUGACAUUUUGUUGUUGUUUGCAACCACUUGCAAAUAUUCCAGAUUUCUUCCUAGGUCAUAAAACCAAUUUACUUUGAAAUGGCAAUUUUAUGUGUCUUACUACAUGUCCCGCUUGUAUAGAGAAGAAAUAAUUUGUUGUUGUUGUUGUUGUUUUGUUUUUGUUUUUGUUUUUAGAGCCUCACCCACAGCAUAUGGAGGUUUCCAGGAUAGGGGUUGAAUCAGAGCUAUAGCCUCCAGCCUAUACCACAGUUUGCAGCAAUGGAGAAUCCUUAACCCACUGAGAGAGGCCAGGGAUCUAACCUGAAUCCUCAUAGAUGCUAGUCAGAUUUGUUUCCACUGAUCCUCAACAGGAACUCUGAGAAGAAAUAUUUUUUCAGUGGUUAAUGCAUUCUUUUUUCCGAAGAUCAAUGAAAGGAAAAAAAUAAAUUAGAAGAUUUAGUUUAGCUACUUACCAGCUGCAUGAAUUUUGGCAAAUCAAUCUGUCUAAGCCUCUAAAAUAGGGGAAAUGAUAUAUCUUACAGUGUUUAUGAUAACAACGUGGACAUCUUUUGUUAAAUUCCCAGCAGUCUUUUUUCCCUCAGGGAACUUAACUUCUCUACUCCAUACAGUUCUGAUAUAAUGGUUAAUUCCCAGCAGCACACCAAUCUCAGGACCACAAGUUUAACAAAUGACAACUUAGCCAAUCAAAAUACCUCAAUCUUCUCUCCACUGUAAUUGGUCCCAGAGAGGGGCACAUGACCCACAAAGGCCAAUCAGAGUCCUUCUUUGAGCUUUGCUUUGUGAAGACACAAGGAGAAUCUCUCCUUCUCUAAGAUAACAAACACCAAGAAAGAAGAAGCCAAAACUAAGUGACUUUGAGUUAUCAGAGAGAAAAGCUGACCUUAGAAUUAAACAAGUAGGCAUGUUAAUCCUGCCAUGUUAAAAGUCAUACCUACUCCUGAGGUUUUCAUUUAAGCCCUUACCCUCCAAAUAAAGAUCUCCCUUAAAUGCAUACAGUAGUUCAAGAUAGUUUUCAUCAUUUGCAACUGAAAGAGUUCUGACUAACAUAGAGGAUUAAGUAAGACAAACUAUGCAAAGUAUAAAGAUAUGUACUGGAAUUCCUGUCUUGGCUCAGUGGCUAACAAACCCAACCAGCAUCCAUGAGAAUGUGGACCUGAUCCCUGGCCUCACUCAGUGAGUUAAGGAUCCAGCAUUACCAUGAGCUGUGGUGUAGAUUUCAGGCAUGGCUCAGAUCUGGUGUUGCUGUGGCUGUGACAUAGGCCGGCAGCUGUAGCUAGCCUGGGAACUUCCAUGUGCCAC
rnacentral:lncRNA from 1 species